UCUCGUUUCUCAAACACAAGCACCUCUCUCUCUCUCUCUCUCUCUGCGUUUGCGAUCCCAUUUGUUGAAUCUGUGCGUAAUUUGUGUUUGGAACCUAAUCUGCUGCUGCAACAAUGUCAUUCUUGGAUUCCGAAUUGUCCUCUCUCAUGGCGGCGCCACACAAAGCCUUGUUCAAAAUAGCCGUGAUCGUCACUUGUGUAAAAUGGCAGACAUCACUAACCAAGGAAUUUCAUGGAAUUUGUAUUUUUCAGUUCACUUGUCCCGAAGGAAUUUGAAAAUUACAUCAAGAGUGAUACAAGUGUCUUACCCUGCAUUGGUGCACUGAGAGAGAUGAAUUUGGAGUGCUUUCCUAUAGAUAAUCAGGCUGUUAUCACUAAUCAUGAAAGAGCAUUGGAGGAACUUUUUGGUGAUGUUGAGAACCAUCCCAAGUUUGAUGCUUGUUUAAUGUGAUGGCAACUCAAAUUUCUACAAUAUUGCUUCAUUGAAGGAGCUGCCAUUUGUGCAAUAUCAUGCUGCCAAGGCACUUGAUGACUAAAAAAAGUGGCAUUAGCCUACUACAAAGCUUGCUGCUGCAAUUUGGAACUGUAUUUCUAAAUACAAAUCUACCACUCCUAACUUUCCAUAAUAGAUCAGUUGAUCAGGUUAAAUUAAUUUUCCUGCCAUGACAUUCUUUUGGUAUGCUCUUCCAGUUUGAAUUUAUUGAGUGUGUUGAACUUGCAUGUAUAGACUGCUCCUGUCAUACACAAAUGGACUUACGAUUCAAUGUGUCAUGUUGGAUAUGGAUGAUAAUAAAUAUUUGUAUAAGGUAUACUUAUCAAAAAAUAUAUAUAUUUGUAUAAGGUAAAUCUUCAUGUUGUUUUUGUGUUUUCCCCCUCUAUGUUUGCUUUUUCAUUUUUUUUCCUCCCUUUUUGUCUUGUGUUUUUAUAUAAAUGGAUGGCAUAUAUUUCAUAUGAAGUUCCCAGCAAAACAGGUGGUCAAACUGAAAGAAAGGAGGUCCUUCUGGAGGACUAUGAUCCAAUCUGGCUUAUAGCAGAUUAUCAGGCUAGUGAACGUUUGCUUGAGAAGAUGAUCAACUUCAUAUUGAAGAACAAAUCAAAGCUGUGCAAAUCUAACAGAGUAGAAGGGAUGGAAGCGAAUUGGUUCAAGCUUUGCCACAGUACACUGAACAAGUUGAGAAGAUUUCUCUCCAUGUGGAGGUAUGUUUUCUUCCUUCAUCAAGUUACAUAGCCCUUGUUGGAUAAAGCAUGUUGGCAUUUACUUGGACGAAAAAUAUGAGUGGUUUAGUCAUAUCCACAUGCAAGCUGAGUAAUUUUUUCCCUUUCUUUUCUUUUUUCCAAUUUUAUUGGAUGUUUGAGAAAGUUCAAAGUGCUGUGUAAUUAUACAAUGACUAUUAGAGUCUUAAACCAAGAGAAAAGAGAAAAAGAUAAAGAUUAGGAUAAAGUUUAAACUACGCCCCUAAAGUUUGAGAGUCUUUAGAUUUUACAUCAUAAAGUUUCAGAAUUUGGAGAGCAACCCCUCAUCCAUAUUUUCCUUUAAGUGCCACUUAAGCUUCCCACGCGUGUUUAGUAUGUCCAAUAAAAUGAUGUCACAUCACUAUUGUAACUUAAAUCCAAAAAUGACGUGACAUCAUUUUAUUGAAAGAACUAACACGCAUGAUAAGUUUAUGUGAUACUUAACGAAAAAUAUAGAUGGAGGAGCUAUGAUGCUAAUUGAAUAUAAUUUCAGGGGGUAAAAUCCAAAAUUUUAAAACUUCAGAGUAUAAAAUUCAAACCCCCCCCCCCCCCCCAAGUUUUAGUGGUGUAGUUUGCACUUUAGCCAAAAAAUUAAUAGCACAAACUUCAAUUGUUACAUUGAUUUAUCUUUGGAGUUGAGGCAUUUUAAAGUAUUCAUGCAAUUUUAAUUCCAAGUAUUAUUGAGAGCAGACAUACAAUUUUGUUUGAAAGUUUGCUCCAAAACUGGAGUUUUAGUUGUUAAAGACAAGAAUAAAAUAAUUUAGAAAAACAAAACAAGAAAGAGAGAAGAACACAACUGCCAACUUGCUCGAAGAGACUGAAAAUGAUGUGAACUGACCAAAAUUGAAGUUGAACUAACCAAAAAACGAGAUGAAUCGGAUGAAGCUCUUCAAUACCAUACAAAACCAAAUAGAGGUUUUGAAGGGGUUAGGUUAUCCUUAUCAUGGAUAAGUGACAACCAAAAUCUAUACCCAAACAACCAACAAAGGAUUAAGUUAUCCUUAUCUUGGAUAGGGAAUAGCUUAAACCUUGAACCAAACAGGGGUAUUCACUGUCAACUCUGACCAAGCUCUGGCCAAUGGCCAACACUGGCAGCUUCAGAACACGUCGAAUUCACUAAAAACAACUGAGAAGUGCCAAAUCUGCUGAGACAAGCCAAAAUACACCCCAAAAAAAACCAACAACAAAUACCAAAUUUGACACC